UACGUAGGGUGCAGGCGUUAAUCGGAAUUACUGGGCGUAAAGCGUGCGCAGGCGGUCUGCUAAGACAGGUGUGAAAUCCCCGGGCUUAACCUGGGAACUGCGCUUGUUACUGGCAGGCUGGAGUGUGGCGGAGGGGGGUGGAAUUCCACGUGUAGCAGUGAAAUGCGUAGAGAUGUGGAGGAACACCGAUGGCGAAGGCAGCCCCCUGGGCUAACACUGACGCUCAUGCACGAAAGCGUGGGGAGCAAACAGG
rnacentral:rRNA from 1 species